rnacentral:rRNA from 1 species
GAUGAACGCUGGCGGCGUGCUUAACACAUGCAAGUCGAACGAUGAAGCCCAGCUUGCUGGGUGGAUUAGUGGCGAACGGGUGAGUAACGCGUGAGUAACCUGCCCUUAACUCUGGGAUAAGCCUGGGAAACUGGGUCUAAUACCGGAUAGGAGCGUCCACCGCAUGGUGGGUGUUGGAAAGAUUUAUCGGUUUUGGAUGGACUCGCGGCCUAUCAGCUUGUUGGUUCGGUAAAGGCUCACCAAGGCGACGACGGGUAGCCGGCCUGAGAGGGUGACCGGCCACACUGGGACUGAGACACGGCCCAGACUCCUACGGGAGGCAGCAGUGGGGAAUAGUGCACAAUGGGCGCAAGCCUGAUGCAGCGACGCCGCGUGAGGGAUGACGGCCUUCGGGUUGUAAACCUCUUUCAGUAGGGAAGAGGCGAAAGUGACGGUACCUGCAGAAGAAGCACCGGCUAACUACGUG